rnacentral:lncRNA from 1 species
CCCUUCCACUAAGGAAUCUUUGCUUCUUAGCUAAGAAAUGCAACAGCAAAUUUAAGAGCAGCAAUUUUUCCUCAGGAGCAAUGUUUUUUUCUGAGUGCAGGCAGGAUGUGAUAUCCUCCUACAGUCCUCAAAUGUACCUUUUUGUUUCAGUGUAUAGAGAGCCGAUAUUAUGUUUUCCAAAAUAAUAUAAAGCCAGUGAAUAUAUAAAGAAACUAAAAUGGCUGUGCAACAUUAUGGGCAAUAUAAGAAGUACUUUUAUUUUUAUUUCUACUUAAAUAAAUGUUGUUCUGUUUAGUGGAGGUCUAAUUUAUUAUUCACUGAUGGUAAUUAGCUUGCUUAUUUUCCAGCUUCAUGUCUCCUGGCUUCAUGUUGUUGAUAAAUCCGAAUUGAAUUUUCCUUUGUUUUCUUUUCUAGCACUUGUGCUUUAAAUCUCCAGCCAUUCCAGAAACAACAUCUUUUCGACCUUUCAGGUUGUCUCCCCACAGAACAGCAGCCGCUGCCACUGCAGAGUGCCACAGAAUGGACCAAAGACAAAGGCCAAGGUGGAGGAUAAAAUCGUCUCCACCCCUGCUUGCCUGGGGCCUCAGCUGAGCAUCAUUGUUGGAAUAACUCAACCAAUGUUGAUGUGAUACCACUGGCAGCUCUUCCUUGGGUCUGAAAAAUCUGUGGCAAACAAGCUUCCUAACACGAACUUAUCUCCUCAGUGCUCACGGUUAAAACAAGUUUUCCCAAAAAAUUAAUGAGUAUUUCCAUAAGGGAUGAAAAUAUUUUAAAAACUUGAAUCACACUUCAAGACAAAAGCCUGAAGAUGGAGCUUUGAGUCCUGACUCCCUGCCUGAGGUUCUCAUCUGUGGAAUGUUCCAGCAGUUGCAUCCAUCUUCCUGUUUUCUGUAUGGUUGCUUGUCCCCUAAGUGAACACAUUUACCUCUUCUACAGAAAGUCCUGGAUUGAAAGAAGCUGUUUUGGGGGACCUGAGCUGUCACCACUUGUUUCCUCAGAGAGAUUUGGCAGAAGGGGUGGCUGUGUAGCCCUGUCCUCCCCCUGCUCCUCAGCAAAACCUUCUGGGAGAGGCUUUCCCCAGGGAAGGAGGAGGAAUGCUCUUCCCGCGAGGGUGGCAAACGGCAGCCGAGCCUCCUGGUUAGAGCUUCCAACAAACUCUCAGUGCCCAACUGUGGGGGAUUUCUUCAAGGCAAAACAGAAACAGUUAAUUCAGAAAUCUCUGUGCUUUUAUGCUGAUUUUGUUACUUAAGUUGCUUUAAUACCUGUAUGAAAGCAGAAUAUAAAAUUAGCAAAUGGACUUUUCUAAAUCAUUUCAUUUUCUUUCAAAAAUAACUUAAAAAAUUUUUUUUUUACCUGAAGUGAUCAACAUUGUACGUUCUGAAAGUGUAAAGGGACUGAAAAGACAGGCUGAAAAAUAAAGUAAGAAGAAGAUUGUACAACAUUUCUAGCUGCCUUUUUUUCCUUUGAUAAGGGAACCCAUGCAGUCAGCUAAGAGCUGCCACCAAGAUCAAGGCCCUGCAGGGCACCGAUGAGCAGGAUCACCGGGAGCGCUGUGUUUACAGGGAUUUCAUUUUUCAUUUUGAAGGGUUGCCACGUCACUUUCCCAAGUUUUGCGGGGCAGAGUGAGGCUUCAUCAAGACAUGCAUCCAUGGACUGGGCGAAAUUCCAGUGUCCAUUAUUUCCUGGGGAAAGCGUGUAAGAGGCUCUCUCUAUCGCUCUUCUUACUUCUGCAUCCCCCAGAACACACAUACACAGUCACAGUCACACAUGUUUGCACCAAACACGGCCUCACUCUCACAAGACACUCACGAAGGUACGUUGACAGUCUCACAGGGUCACAAACAUGCACUAGAAAUCUGACACACACACACACACAUCCAAUCUCUCUCUGACACACACACACUAUCUCACACACACAUGCUCCUCUGCUCUGCUGAGUCAUCAGUCUUGGAUCUCAGCCUCAGCACGUGUGGGGCCUGCCCUGUGGGAGGCUGUUGAACACAGAGGGAAGCUGAGGUUGCACUGUCCACCUCCUCAUUACCAUAAUGAUUGCGUUCAGCAUCCUUCAUCAGCACAGGAGCACUAAGGGUUGGAGAGGACGUGCAUCACCUUUACUCGCACAGCUGCUCACAUCGGGCACUUGAGACGUGUAUUUGCUGGGACACUUGGGAGUGAAAUGGCUUGUGGAAUUUAGUCUCGUGUCAGUCUUCAGCUUUAAGUUUCAAGCGAUCCUGCUCUGGGAAUAAAUAUUGAGUACGACGUAGAAAACAGCUUUUCUUCAAGGACCUCUGAAAGCCAUGUAAGCACCAUUCUUUGAUAAACAUUCUCAUCCCAACUGAUGGAGGGAAAAGCCAGGAACAGGGUCCCAGGGAGGCCAAAGGGGUUCCCGACUGGGAAUGAGAAGCCAUCCCUUCAGGACUCUGCUGUGCCCCGACAGCAGGCACAGGAGGCGUGGUCCCUGCCUUUCCCCCACCUCACCUGCCCUUUCCCGCUGGAGUAAAUGGGAAGAGAGCUCUGCUCAAGCCUCAGCCUCCAGGACUCUCCAUCAUACCAGCUGCCUCAGGCAAAUUAAGCACAGCAAAUGCUGCUCUGUUCAGGGCUCCUCCCUGUUUAUUGCAAGACGGUGGUUCUCAAACCUGACCUUCUGGGACACUUAACGAUUACCCUUGACUUUUGAAUCUCUCCAUGAUAUCUGAUAACAGUCGAGUGUGGAUUUCUUGGUGAAGUGAGGUCUCUCCCUCCACCUUUGCCCAUGGAAUUGAGUGACGGUCACCCCUCAUUGACUCUGCGGAGAGCUGGUGCCUCCUACAGCAGAACAAGCAGGAAAUAGCGCAGCAGAGAGCAUCUUACAAGCCAGAGGGGCAGCAGAGGCAGCACGGGGCAGAGCUGGGCGGUGAGGAAACUGAGCAUCAGCUGCUGGAGCAGCUGCCGUGAGGGAACUGGCUGGGUUUAUCUCAAGAGGCUGUGCUGCUGGGGCCGACCAUUGGUGGGAGGUCCCAUGCUCACCGGGACAUAAGGCCGCCUGUGCACGAACCGUGUGGCAGCUGGCGUCCUUUGUUUCAACAAACAGAACUGCAUUUCCAACUAAAAAACCCAAGUGUGAAAUUUGUAGACACCGUGUAUCAGAGGGAAGAACUUGAGAAGAUUAACUAAACUUCUGGAACCUCAACCGCUCUCCCUUGUGCACCUCACGCCUCGAUGAGAUGAUGAAAUGUGAUACCGCGCAUAUCGAUGGUGGGAAAAAUGUUACGUGUCAUUCAGAGCAUUUGUCAGACGUUUAUUAAAGUCUCGUUUCAGGUUUGGAGGGUACUAUUUAGAAGUCUUAAUUUCCGAAUUGGAUCCUAUAAUUAUCUCAGGGUUUAAUAACACGUCAAAAGCAUAGCAGAGAAGGGAAAAAGAGUAUAAUUUUGCCUGCUCAUAUGAGGAACUAUUUAUUGAUUUCCCUUGGGGUCCUGAGCAGAAGGAGCUGUGUUAAGAAAUACUUUGGCUCGAAGUACCCAGCUGUGUAAGUGGUUUUGGGUGUGGACUCUUACGGCCAUGGUCCUAAAUGAUUCAAAUUGUAAGGUGGCAGGCAGAAGUCACACUUUUCUGAUAAAUGUUAAACUUAGUUACCUUCAUUAUAUCAACAUCAUCAAAAUCAAUUGUGUGUCUGUUUGUUUAUUGUGGUGGAGGCUGCUCUAGAGCUGCAGCCACAUCAUGGGAUCUCUGCUACCCCAGCUCUCCCGCACAUUCCAGGCUUAGAGACACAUGGAAUAAGUGAAUGAUGAACAAGUGAAAUCAGCAACAUUCAGCCCAAUCAUGAUCAACUGGUCUCUCA